CAAACGGCUCUUUUCAGAGCCACACACAAAAAAAAAAAAAAAAAA
rfam:Strongylocentrotus purpuratus Contig1989_fixed, whole genome shotgun sequence.